AUGUUCCGCGUCGAGGAGGUCAUCCAAAACCGGGUGGUGGUUGCUCUUCUUGCCCACUUCACCAACACAUUCAACGCCUUCUACCUCCUCGGCCGGGUGUUUUGGUGUGGCUCCGAGUUCAUCGCUUUCACCACCCACAACAGGUUCAGAGAGUACACCAACAUCUUCCCCACCGCGACGCGCAUGCACACUCUUCCAUAUCCCAUCGACAACACCCCGGAGGAGCAUGAACCAACGGGGGAAAGAAAAAAAACGCACGACGACCUCGCCUUCCAUCACCACCUCCAGCGCUCCACCUCCAGCGCGCCGCCGCAUCGACGCGCAGCCGCCUGCCGCCAACGCCCCUCCGCCGUGCGCCUUCCCCACCGCUAUGGCUUUCCACCACCGGCGACACUCGAUGUUGGCGCCACACCUUCCCCCAUCCCCUCUCUCUCGCCACGACCCGACGUCGUCGUCCUCCACCACCAGCCCAGCCCUUGCGUCUUCCUCUUAAAGCGACGCUACCCACCCUCCCUCCUCUCUUUGGCCGACGUCCCGUGCUCCGGCAACGGCAAAAAACAGUUCCAAACCGUCUGCCUCGCCUCUCAAUCACAGGUGAGCCGACGGGAGUCGGUUCCUCUCCUCCCCAAUGCUCUUCUUCACCUGGCCAGAGCACCUGCUCCUCCCAUCACGCGCAGAUCGACGGAGCAGUUCGAUGGUCGUUGCCCAGCUGCGUGCAGUUCAGUACUCCUCUGCCCCAUCGACUUCAACCACCAUCUCGCCAGUUGGUUUAUAUUGUUGUAUUGUGAUUCACUAGAAGGAAUUAUGGCAGUAGUUCAGCGAAAAAGGUUUACCUCAGUUCAGACUAGAGUUGCUGGUGCUUUAGGGUGGAUGGUCCAGAUAGACCAAAACAAUGGCACCUAUGUUUACUGCACUUGCAUACUCUGCUUGUUUAAGGAAUUCAAGUAUGGACGUGGAGCAGCAGAUGGAUGGAUGUUAGCCAACACAAAAGUUGCACACGGCAGGUCUGAGAUCUUCCACUUGCUACUCGCUCUUGUCAAGACAUUAGGUGAUUAUAAGGCUGUCAUGGGUGAAGUGUUGGGGAAGCAUAACAAGGCUCUGGAGCAUCAAGUUCUUCCAAUUACUUCUGCAGAUGCCAAACAAGGCCAUUGUCCAUCUCCAGAGAAGCGCAAGGCCAUUGUCCAUCUCCAGAGAAGCGCAAGGCCAAUAGCCCACUAG
rnacentral:rRNA from 1 species